CCUACGGGUGGCUGCAGUGGGGAAUAUUGGACAAUGGGGGGAACCCUGAUCCAGCCAUGCCGCGUGUGUGAAGAAGGCCCUCGGGUUGUAAAGCACUUUCAGUGAGGAAGAACGCCUGGUGGUUAAUACCCAUCAGGAAAGACAUCACUCACAGAAGAAGCACCGGCUAACUCCGUGCCAGCAGCCGCGGUAAUACGGAGGGUGCGAGCGUUAAUCGGAAUUACUGGGCGUAAAGCGCGCGUAGGUGGCGUGAUAAGCCGGUUGUGAAAGCCCCGGGCUCAACCUGGGAACGGCAUCCGGAACUGUCAAGCUAGAGUGCAGGAGAGGAAGGUAGAAUUCCCGGUGUAGCGGUGAAAUGCGUAGAGAUCGGGAGGAAUACCAGUGGCGAAGGCGGCCUUCUGGACUGACACUGACACUGAGGUGCGAAAGCGUGGGUAGCAAACAGGAUUAGAUACCCCUGUAGUC
rnacentral:rRNA from 1 species